rnacentral:rRNA from 1 species
AAACUUAAAUGAAUUGACGGGGGCCCGCACAAGCGGUGGAGCAUGUGGUUUAAUUCGACGCAACGCGAAGAACCUUACCAGGGCUUGACAUCCCCUGACCGCGUAUGAAAGUACGUUUUCACCCUCGGGUGACAGGGAGACAGGUGGUGCAUGGUUGUCGUCAGCUCGUGUCGUGAGAUGUUGGGUUAAGUCCCCGCAACGAGCGCAACCCCUACGUUUAGUUGCUAACGCGUGAAGGCGAGCACUCUAGACGAACUGCCGUUGACAAAACGGAGGAAGUGGGAUGACGUCAAAUCAUCAUGCCCCUUAUGUUCUGGGCUACACACGUGCUACAAUGGCCGGUACAGACGGACGCAAAGCCGCGAGGUGGAGCAAAUCCUAAAAAGCCGGUCUCAGUUCGGAUUGCAGGCUGCAAUUCGCCUGCAUGAAGUCGGAAUCGCUAGUAAUCGCAGGUCAGCAUACUGCGGUGAAUACGUUCCCGGGCCUU